rnacentral:rRNA from 1 species
CUACGGGGUGCUGCAGUGGGGAAUAUUGCGCAAUGGGCGAAAGCCUGACGCAGCAACGCCGUGUGAGUGAUGAAGGUUUUCGGAUCGUAAAACUCUGUCAGGAGGAACGAAACCCGCUGAGAACAAUACCUCAGUGGCUUGACGGUACCUCCAGAGGAAGCACCGGCUAACUCCGUGCCAGCAGCCGCGGUAAUACGGAGGGUGCUAGCGUUGUUCGGAAUUACUGGGCGUAAAGCGCGUGUAGGCGGAUUCGGAAGUCGGGUGUGAAAGCCCUGGGCUCAACCCAGGAAGUGCGCCCGAAACCACGAGUCUUGAGGUCCGGAGGGGAUCGGGGAAUUCCCAGUGUAGAGGUGAAAUUCGUAGAUAUUGGGAGGAACACCUGUGGCGAAGGCGCCGAUCUGGACGGAUUCUGACGCUGAGAUGCGAAAGCGUGGGUAGCAAACAGGAUUAGAUACCCGUGUAGUC